UAGAGUUUGAUCCUGGCUCAGAAUCAACGCUGGCGGCGUGCCUAACACAUGCAAGUCGCACGAGAAAGGGGCUUCGGCUCUGAGUAAAGUGGCGCACGGGUGAGUAACACGUGAAUUAUCUACCUCCGAGUGGGGAAUAACUGAGAGAAAUCUUAGCUAAUACCGCAUAACACUUACGAGUCAAAGCAGCAAUGCGCUUGGAGAGGAGUUCGCGGCCGAUUAGUUAGUUGGCGGGGUAAUGGCCCACCAAGACGAUGAUCGGUAUCCGGCCUGAGAGGGCGCACGGACACACUGGAACUGAAACACGGUCCAGACUCCUACGGGAGGCAGCAGUGGGGAAUUUUGCGCAAUGGGGGAAACCCUGACGCAGCAACGCCGCGUGGAGGAUGAAAUCCCUUGGGAUGUAAACUCCUUUCGAUAGGGAAGAUUAUGACGGUACCUAUAGAAGAAGCCCCGGCUAACUUCGUGCCAGCAGCCGCGGUAAUACGAGGGGGGCAAGCGUUGUUCGGAAUUAUUGGGCGUAAAGGGCGCGUAGGCGGUUUGACAAGUCUGAUGUGAAAUCUCUGGGCUCAACCCAGAGUCUGCAUUAGAAACUGUCGGGCUUGAGUAUGGGAGAGGUGAGUGGAAUUUCCGGUGUAGCGGUGAAAUGCGUAGAUAUCGGAAGGAACACCUGUGGCGAAAGCGGCUCACUGGACCAUAACUGACGCUGAGGCGCGAAAGCUAGGGGAGCAAACAGGA
rnacentral:rRNA from 1 species